UGGAGGGGUGCUGAAACAGGGCCAUGUCUCCUCAGCAACACUAAAAAAGUACUUUCGGGUCACAGAAUUUCAGAAUGUCAAUAGCCUAAAUGCCCCCAAUGCAAAGCAAUGUGUAUGGAAGACAUAUUGGCUUAUAGAGCAAAUACUAUUCUAGGUGCCACAGUAGAAGUGUUGUAGGGAAUACUCAGUAGGGUCUGUAGAAUGUAUAUAUGGUGUAAUUCCAUAGGCUCUGAAUAAUACAGAUGUCACGAAUCCCGCUUCCUGAGUCUGUGUUUGCAUGUGUUUCUGGUGUCCUGGAACGCACCCUGUCUGGUUGCCGGACGAAUUAGCUUGUUGGGAGAUCGAUGUUCACCCGCACCUGUAUCCCAUCAGUAAUCUGCACACCUGUCCUGAUCAUCACCUCUCCCCUUCAAAAGCUCUGACCUGACAUCCAUUCCCUGCCGGAUCGUUAGCCAUGAACACCAUUCACCCGGAACCCAUACCCCAUCCCUGUCUGCUCAUCGCCAGUGUGUUGUUAUCCAUUGGAUCUGCCUAUCCACUCCCAUCAACCCACCUCCGCUGCCCGCUCCUCCACCCGGAACUAUCUACCUCCACGUUCUCAUUGACUAAUAAAUACUCACCAUCUUUAUACUCACCUUGUCCUGGUCUGCUUCUGGGUUCAAUUCUGGUAAACCCUGACAACAGAUCAAGAUAGCUCAGCAUUCAACGCCAUAGUACCCUCCAAGCUCAUCAUUAAGCUUGAGGCCCUGGGUCUGAACCCCACCCUGUGCAACUGGGUCCUGGUCUUCCCGCAGGUGGUGAAUGUACUGUAUGAAAAAACACCUCCAUUUCGCUGAUACUCAACACUGGGGCCCCACAGGGAUGCGUGCUCAGCCCCCUCUUGUACUCCCUGUUCACCCAUGACUGCGUGGCCAUGCACGCCUCCAACUCAAUCAUCAAGUCUGCAGAUGACACAACAGUAGUAAGCCUGAUUACCAACAAUAAAGAGACAGUCUACAGGGAGGAGGUGAGGGCCCUGGGAGUGUGGCGCCAGGAAAAUAACCUCUCACCCAACGUCAACAAAACAAAGGAGCUGAUCGUGGAAUUCAGGAAACAGCAGAGGGAGCACCCCCCUAUCCACAUCGAUGUGACCGCAGUGGAGAAGGUGGAAAGCUUCUUGUUCCUCGUGUACACAUCACUGACAAACUGAAAUGGUCCACCUACACAGACAGUGUGGUGAAAAAGGCGCAACAGCACCUCUUCAACCUCAGGAGGCUGAAGAAAUUUGGCUUGGUACCUAAAACCCUCACAAACUUGAACAGAUGCACAAUUGAGAGCAUCCUGUCAGGCUGUAUCACUGCCUGGUAUGGCAACUGCACCGCCCGCAACCGCAGGGCUCUGCCAAACGCAUCACCGGGGGCAAACUACCUGCCCUCCAGGACACUUACAGCACCCGAUGUCACAGGAAGGGCAAAAAGGACAAGGACAACAACCACCCGAGCCACUGCCUGUUCACCCCGCUAUCAUCCAGAAGGCGAGGUCCGUAGAGCAGCACUGCAGGCCCUCCUGGAGCAUGAGAGACAGCAGUACGUCACAGAGCUCAACAGAUGGGGCAAGACCAUCUACAAACAGAGAGUCUAGACUCUAGUCUCUACGAGACCCAUAACAACACCAAAGACCAUCUGAAGUUUAUGCUGAAAGCCAUCUAGCAGCUAGAAUGUGUGAACAAAUAUAGAAUACUUUGAAGUGUUAAUGUGAAAACAUUUACUCACAACCAUCUACAAGCACCUUGUUUACAAUUUAAAAUGUGUUUUUUCUUUAGGAUUAUAGUUUUACAUCGUUGUAUUUACAUGAAUAAAAAAAGGUCUGAUCUGUACAGAAGCAGAGUGGAUAAACUGAUUCUGUAAAAGUACACUUUUAAGCAAUUUACAUU